UACGUAGGCAGCGAGCGUUGUUCGGAAUUACUGGGCGUAAAGAGUGUGUAGGCGGUGCUCUAAGUUCGGUGUGAAAUCUCCCGGCUUAACUGGGAGGGUGCGCCGGAAACUGGAGUGCUCGAGCGUGGGAGAGGAAAGCGGAAUUCCUGGUGUAGCGGUGAAAUGCGUAGAUUUCAGGAGGAACACCGGUGGUGUAAACGGCUUUCUGGACCAUAACUGACGCUGAGGCACGAAAGCGUGGGUAGCAAACAGG
rnacentral:rRNA from 1 species